CAGCAGCACACUUCUCUUCUGGGUGGCUGUCCAUUCGACAGUUUUGUUCAGUAAAAAGGUCAAUUCACUUAAAUCCAGGCAUAUACGAAUGGGUGAGUUCGUGAAACAAGCAAACAGACGAACACAGCAAUCUUAGUUCAUACAGAUGGGUCUGUCACAGACCGAUAUUGCAAAGGAUGAGAAGAAGCUGUUGAUGAUCAACAGUGUCAAAAGCAGCAGAAGGGUCAAGAAGAAUUAGGAUAGAAUAGUGACCAUGAGAUUUUGCAGCGAGUAGAUCAUUGGAUACUUUGGUCAGUGCCGAUGCCAGCUUAGCAUGGAAACCAGACUCAAGUGGUUAUAGCAGAGAGUUGGACUCGAGGGAGUCUGUCAAUCUCGCAUACAAAACUUUUUCAAGGAUCUUGGAUGCAAAAGGCAGUAGCGAGAUAGGACGGUAGUUGGAUGGAGAGUUAGGGUCAAGGUUGGGCUUCUUUAGAAUUGGGCUUACAGUUGCAUGUUUGAAGGGCAAUGGAUAUAUGCCAGAGGAGAGAGAGAGAGAUUGAGAUUGAGCAUUUUAGUGAGAGGUAGAGAAAGAGAAAAAGAUAGAGUACGGAUGAGAUGCAAGGGA